UACGAAGGGAGCUAGCGUUGUUCGGAAUUACUGGGCGUAAAGGGCGCGUAGGCGGUUCGACAAGUUGGAUGUGAAAGCCCAGGGCUCAACCCUGGAAUUGCAUUCAAGACUGUCUUACUUGAAUUCGGUAGAGGUUGGUGGAAUUCCCAGUGUAGAGGUGAAAUUCGUAGAGAUUGGGAAGAACACCCGUGGCGAAGGCGGCCAACUGGACCGACAUUGACGCUGAGGCGCGAAAGCGUGGGGAUCAAACAGG
rnacentral:rRNA from 1 species